UAAGAGUUGGUCCUUCAGCAUGUGGUUGCAA
rnacentral:piRNA from 1 species